UGCUGUAUUGUUCAGUGGUAGAGCAUUUGACUGCAGAUCAAGAAGCCCCAGGUUCAAAUCCUUUUGCCUCCU